rnacentral:lncRNA from 1 species
UUUUUUUUUUUUUAGUUUUAUAGAGAUUUCCGAUACAGGUUAGUCAUGUGUUCUAUCCCUAUUGAACCCAUCAUUUAAGUUAGGGUAGAUUUGUAAGGGCAAUAUGUUUACUAGUGGUUAGUGUAAAAAUAGUGAUAACUAUGAAAUUAGAUAUUGUAGCGAUAUUAUAGCGUAAAACAAAAAUAAAGCUGAACGCACACCACCCAAUCGCUCAUCCAAACUCAUUCUUAAUGGGUUCAAUGUUCAAAUUUUCAAAGAUUUGUCAUGUGUUGAAUCACAGAUGUAGUCAAAUCUACCUACCCAUCUUUCGACGUAAUUGAUUCGCUAUUAAAUUCUUUUCUUUUAAAUUUCAUGGUGGGACGUGUAGGGAUUUCACAAGAUUGUGUCAUAUGUUCUACCUGUUUCAUUUUUUUAAAAUUUCGAAUUUAUGUCAUGUAUUAAAAGCACAAUAGACUUGCCAUAUUAGAUCACUCUUAGAGAGGGGAAAAAUAUACUUUUUUACAUAAUUAAAAAAAAUUUUAGUCGAGACCAGAAUGUCCACCGCUGAUAGCAAUGACUAAUGUCCUUGUCGUAUGUGCUCUCUAAAAAGAUAAAUGACUAGCCAAAAAUAUGCUUCAUUCCCGAAGGUGAGAAUUAAAUCUCCAACCUUAUGAUUAAAGGAUAAGAUAAGCAACCAUCAAACCGCACUUAAUAUAAUUUAAAACGAAUUUUUUUAUCUACAAUAUUUUUAUAAUAAAACCAGAAAGAGGCAAAGGACCAUUUUAUUAUAUGCAUAAAAAAAAACAAUAAUUGGCGGGUUUUUUUAAGCUCAACACAGCUAAAAUCAAAGGUUCUUUUUUUUUUUUGUUCAUUCUUUUCCCCGCCAAAAUUUGUGUGUUUGAUUUUAGCGGUAAAUUCCCAAAACAAAAGAUUUGGUACUUAACAUCAGUUCCCACCAUCUCUACUUGUUUUCAUUUCAAAUCUGAAAUCAAAUCCCCUUUUAACCUCCAAACCCAAAUCCAAGCUUCAACUCUUUUCCACAAAUCUCCAAAAAUAACCCAGAAAAAGAAAAACCAUCAUUUGCAAAAGAAAAAUGGAUAGCAGAUUUCAAGUAUUGCCUCCACUCAAAAGAUUUCGGCUUUUGCAACAACAACAACACGAAGAAGAUGAAGUGUUCAAUGGCUCUAAAACUAACUCUUUUCCUCUCCCGGCGAAGAAAAGGAAGGAGACCAGGGAUGUUCCUCUGCCUGAAACUACUUCAUAUUGCUUGCCUGCCAAGAAGAGAAUAUGGGCUUUCCAACCUGAUUUCCUUUCCGGUAAGCCUCUUUUGCCUUUUGAUUUGAAUGUUGAGUACGAGAAGCAAGUUGAAAUGGAGGAAAACAAGAGCAACCCAAUUUGUAAAACUCCCCAAAAAUGCAUUUUUGAUACUCGAAAUGAGAUUUUCCAGAAAAGCAAUAAAACCCCACUUGAAGAUCGUCCCCCAAAAUGCAUCAAAACUAGGCAAGAAGUAGGGAAUAAAGAAAAUCAAAUCCCAAAGGAAAACCCACUUGUUAAAAGCCCCAAAAGUCACCAAAAGUGCAUCAACAUUAGCCCUACAAAAGCUAACAAAGAAGUAGAAGUAGAAGAGGAGGAAGAAGAUGGGAUUUUAUGUGAUAUUUGUAAAAGCACAGAUGGGGAUCCAAAAGAUCCCAUUGUGUUUUGUGAUGGAUGCGAUUUAAUGGUACAUUCCACAUGUUAUGGGAAUCCAUUAAUAAAAGAAAUCCCAGAAGGUGAUUGGUUUUGCAGCCUUUGCUUAGAGAAACCAAACAAUGAUAAACCCUUUGCUUGUUGCUUAUGUCCAACCAAAGUAGGUGCAAUGAAACCCACAACUAUUGAUGGUAAAUGGGCUCAUUUGGUUUGUGCACUUUUGGUACCUGAAGUGUUCUUUGAGGAUCCUGAAGGAAGGGAAAGGAUUGAUUGUUCAAAGGUACCUGAGAAGAGAUGGAAAGGGAGAUGUUAUGUUUGUAAGACUAGGAAAGGGUGUGUCAUUGAAUGUUCUGAACCUAAAUGUGGAUUGGAGUUUCAUGUCACUUGUGGAUUGAGUGAAGAUCUUUGCAUUGAAUAUAAAGAAGGAAAGAAAGGUGCUGUUGUUGCUGGGUUUUGUAAAUCCCACACUGAAUUGUGGAAAAAGGUACUUUCUUUUAGGCUUUCUACACAAUGUUUACUUUAUUAAUGCAGUGAAUAGGAAGGUGUCACUAAUGGGUUUUGUUUCUGUUUGCAGCAACAACAGACAGGGAAGUUCAAGAUUGUAGCUAGAGAUGAGCACAAGUAAUCAAAUGUGGCAACUUUGUAACUUGAUGAGUUUUAUAACUUUUGUUGGUGAUUUCUUUGGAUUACAGAUUCUAUAAAUUUAGGUUGUUUUUUUUUUUUCCUUAACUUAUAUGUGAUGAAGUUGGAACAAAAAUUUUGUUUAAGUUUUCAAUUCCCAAUGUUUGUUUCUACACACUUCUCAUCUUUGUUGCUUAUUCAGCUUAAUUUUGUAAUUUUGGUGUACUGAUAAAAUGUCAAAUUUAACUUUUAAUAUUUAUAUAUUUUUUUAUCAAUUUAAUCUUUACUGUCUUUAAAAACUAAAUUUGAUGUUAUGUUUUUUUAUAUUUGCAAAGAUAUUUAGGGAGUAUGGUAUUUGACCAUGGAUGACUGGAUAAUUCAUUAAAUUUGAUGUUUUAAAUAAUUAAAAUUUGUUAAAUUAAAAUGGAUAAUGUGUAGCAUUACUCUCACUAAGAAUUUCAAAUAUCAAUUGGUUUUAUCGAAAUUUUAUAUUAAUUGAAUUUUUAUUGAUGAUAGAUUAAUCAAUUAAGGUUUCUUUUUUUUUGUUAUUGUUAAUGAUCAAAUUUUGCUUUUGACAAAUUAUAUCAUAUGAUGAUGGCACAUGACAUACCAUUUGACGGCAAAUAAUAAAAGUAUAAAAAAAAUAUUAAAAUUAUUUAAAAAAUCUAUAAAUAUUUAAAAUGAAAAAAAACUAUAAAAAUAUGACAUUUCGUUUUCUCUAUAUUAUAACUCAAUUUAUUCUUCUCAAUCACAAUAAAUUAUCUUUCACUUGAUACCACCAUUACACUUCAAUCACUAUUACUUUUAACCAACUGCCUUCCUCAAAUCAGAUAAUCACAUAAAACCCUUAAAACCCUUAUCGUUGAUAAUGGUUGGAUGCUUAAAUUUAUUUGGUCUCCUUUAGCCUUUUAAAUAAUAGAUGAGUGGUUGGAAUAAUAGUAAGAAUUGGAACAUUCUAUAAUGAUUCAAAUCAGUUAAAAGCAGAUCAUAUCCCUAAUAAUAUACUUCAAUGAUGGCCAAUGUAUUUUAAGAUGCAAACAUAAAUCAGCUUUAAAUAGUACAGCAUUUGACAUCAGUUUUUUUUUAGGUCAAAUCUUACACAAUACAAAAAUCAUUUUUUAGAUCAAUUUUCAUGUUACCCAAAAAACAAGUAAAAUCAAGUUGGAAAAUUUCUCUACAACUUGGAUUUGUGUUCGACAGUUGGCUACAGAUACCUUGACCACCAGGUUGCAGCCAUCUCCCAUCUUCAUCUUUCAUCAUACCCAAACCAUACAUCUUACAAUUUUCAAGUUUUAGGCUUCUUUGGUGUGCCUGAAUUCCCUGCCUCAGCCUUGCGCUUGAUUCCCAAGAAAUGCUCAACCUAUUGAAUUGGAAUAUGAAUUAAACUAAAAUACUGAAUUCUGAUAUCAUCCCCAUUAAUGAUGAUUGAAGAGUUUAGCAUCAUAAUCACUAAAAGUAUCCAAUAAAUAAAAAGAACUAGACCUUCACUUGAAUUCCAAUGAAAAAGAUUCUAUGGCAAUGAAACAUGAUUGGCUUUCAGUAAAUGUAUAAGGUAAGAAUUAACUUGCCUUUCUAUCACCAAGCAUAGGCGUCAAGCCUCCCGGAAAAUCCUUCUCAACAGUAGCAAAGCCACUUGCAGGAUCACUAGUUUGCCUGGAAAUAAAUCACAUGAAAGAAAUGAGGUACAAUUGCAACCCACAACUGAAAAUGUAAUAAACAAGCAAUCAUAUUAAUUAAUGAUCAAAAUUAUAUGCAAUGGCAACACAUAUCACGUAGCAUAAAAUGGUAAACCAAGCUUCAUUUUGCACAAGGUCAAGUCCCUGUAACUGCACAUCAGACCUAAUAGUCACAAGAAUUAUUACCAACAGAGCGGAUCAAGUUGAUUUCCAAGUUCAUAAAAUAUCCAUUCAAAGAAAAAAAAAUACCAUAACAGAGAAAAAGGAAGAAGAAGCUAGAUAAUAAACCCUAGUUCCAGGCAGCUAAUAUGAUAUGUGGAUUUCUUUCAGUUCUUGAACUAAAAUGUUUAAAACCCAGCAAGCAGAGAUCAUGAAUUAACCUAAGGAAAGAAAGAACAUACCCUGGUUUGACGUGACCACUAAGGACAAGGUAGGGUGUUUUCAGCUGAGCUUGAGCUUCCCUCAUCCUCUCCACUGAAAGUGAAGGUGUAUCUGAAUUUUUCAUUUGCUUCAGCUUCAACUCUUCCUGAUAUUGCUUCAUUCGCUUUUCUUGCUUCAUUUUGCCAGGCCCCUUGCCAUGAAAUUUAUGAGAAAGCAUCCGGAAGGCUUCCUUAGGAGUCACCUGGAGAAGAUAGGAAAGUAGUUAUUUGUAAGUCCAAAUGCAAAUAUAACACAUUCAUUUUAUAAAUAUAUAAACGUCGGCACAGACUUAAGAAAGCAAUAGACCAGAUUGAAGUACUUACAAUUCGACCAAAUUCAUCUGUCCUUUCAAUGCGAAUAUCUUUAAAUCUAUUAUCAGUUUGGUGAUCAUCGUCUACAAUGCCAACAAGUUUGCUCUUUUUCUUGUCCAUGUUUCGGCCACCCCAUUCAAUAGUUUCUUUAAGUGUUCCUCGAUCUUUAAGCAGCUUCAGCGCACCUGAUAAUCCUUUGCCAACCGCAAUUUCGUGAAUGGUUUCAUCUGGAACAACCUCAUUGUUGUCCUCAUUAGCAGGUUUUUCAUCAGCACUAGUAUCAACGACCUCUGUCCAUCCACCCACCUCGUUUUCUCCAUUUUCUCUAUCUUGUUCAGAAGCUCCUGGCACUUCAUCCUCAUCCAUGAAGACAUCUUCACUGUCAGGCUUAUGGGCUUCUGAAGACCAAAUUAACAUUAACUGUUAUUAUUUACCAGAAAGAAAUUAUAAGCAUAAACAUCAAAUUCUUUUCUUUUUUUUUUCUCUAUUGAAAGAGAAGGGGUCAAGUUAGCUGGUGUAAUAGGAAUAUGUGUGGCCAAAAUAGAAAAGACGGAUAUUCAAAAACAAGAUCAAAAUUAUGAUAAAAAAUGCAUAUUACUGGUAGAAAAUCUAGAACCUAAAACUUCCAGGAGACUACCCUGACACAGGAACCUGUGAAGCUAAAUAUAUUCCAGAUUUUAGCAGAUGAUUUAGUAGCUGGCAGAAAACAAGAAAAGAAAAAAUGUGGUCAUGUUAUAAACGAUAUUAUAGUGAGUAGAUUUUGAAAGAAACCAAACCUUCAUCAAGCUGAAGACCCCAUACAAACUCCUCCAUCUCUGUGAUCACAACCUUGUUUUCUUGUGCCUCUCCAGUUGAGGUAUUUUGAUCAUCUGUAGUUUGAUUGCUAGCAGAUGUGGCAGCAAGGAGCGCUACAGCUUGUGGACCUGAUUUUUCUUCUUGCUUUUUAAGAGCCAACCUCCUUGCUUUUUCAAGGGAUUUAUAAAGAUCCUCUUCAUCAUCAGCAAAAACCUGAUUUUCAUCUUCCUCAGGUUUAACUGUAAGAGUUUGUUCGAGCCGCAGUGAUUUUGAUGCCUCAUCUGCUUUGGCAAAUGCUGCUUGGUAUGCAUUAUUUCUCUUUUCAGCCUCGGAUCUGGCCUCCUCUUCUUUAAUUGCUUGUCUUCUAGAGUCAUUCCUAGAUCCAAGGUCUCCAGCACCCAGCCCGGCAGAGACAGCUUCUGCUUCAAGGGCAUCUAUAUCCAACUUCUCUUUCUUCCGCAAAGCUUUCUUCUUUUUGGGCUUUUUAAAUCGAAGCAUUUCCUCUUCGGUGUAAUAAUCCGAUGAAACCUUCCCAACAUUAUUCAGAUCUUCAACACGGUUAUUAGUGGGAACACCUAGUAACCUUUUACGCAGCUGCCAAGUGAGGGAAAAGAAAAUAAAAGGAACACCAUUAGCAAAAAAAUGUUAAAAUAUGUUUGUUAUAACAGCUCAAAAAAAAUCAUUUAAAAAUCACCUCUUCUAAUUUCUUUUCAGCUUCACCAGUAAAGCGCCCCCUUUCAUCCAGAGUUACACCCUGAAAAUAAAUAUAAAGUAAAAACAGCCACCAAUGAUCAAAUACCACUUUUCUUCCAAUAAAAUACAAGGAAAUUUCAAAAGACAAUAUUCUAAUUGAAAUUCAAGAAGGAAAAGAAAGAUUUCGCAUGAGGACAGAGCUUAUAAACUAACCUCAUCUGCAACUGGAUCAUCAUAUUGUGGCAGUAUUUUUUUCUCAGAACCAGGAUCUUCGUUGAACCUAAAUUAACAUAAUCCAUAUUAAAGGUAACUACUAAAUCUGCUAGUAGGUAAAUUACACAGGCUCUUCAUUGAACCUUAAUUAACAUAAUCCAUAUUAAAGGAAUAUAUUAAACCUGCUAAUAGGUAAAUUACACACCCAAAAUAAUUGAAUACAUUGUAAUAUAGAGUUAAACCUAGGUUAGUAUUAAAUUCAACCACAUAGCUAGAGAAGAAUGAGAAGCGAACCUAUAAGUUUUUAGUUUUGUAUUAAAGGCAAAUUAUAUGCAUACACUAGAACUGAGCACAUGCAUAUUCACACACACAGAUUUACACAAUAUAUAUCAGAAUCUUACUUAUCAUCAUAAACCCCGGUUUUCUUCUUUGCAGCCUUGUAAGCCUCAUCCCGCUGCUUCUGCUCUCCAAUUUCAAUAUUUUCAAGCAUAUCAACAUCUGUCGGAUCAGACCAGAAAGCUCUGUUACACAAAAAUCUACGUCAUCUCACAAACAUAGCCAAAAAAUACAUGAGUAGCACCCCAAGACUUGUUUACCUUCAUUAAGGUCACCAUCAGCAAGUAUGCUCUGAUCUUUGAGUGUUAAAACGACAGCUCCACCAUCCAUCACUUUGUCAAGGCCAUGAAGAACUUUAACCCCUCCUAGAUCAUCUGUUAAUGGAUUGUCAGUAACAAUAAAUGAGCCAAUCAACCAGAUGCUGAGAUACAAGUAAAAACAGUCAUCACACUUCAAAAUGAAACAUUAGCUCCUAUUCAGGACACUGAACAAUACCCUAAUUUAUCUGAUCUAUUUAUAAUUAAUGGUUCAUUUGUUCACCAUAAUCAGUUGCAAUGUUUGGUUUGGACAUCAUAACAAAGACAAAAAUGGACCAUUGUGGCACUAACAGUAUGCUGCUCAACUCUUUUUGUUCAACAUUCAAUGACUACAUUUAAUACAUAAUUGGCAUUAUUUGCAACAAGAAAAGUUCAAAAGGAAAGUGAACAUACGAGUAGGGCGAUUAUCAGCUUCCUCAUCUUCAUCUUCUCCUUGAACGAAAUUAUCCUGAGAAAUUUAUUCCAUAGAAUUAAUUAUUACCAUCAUUCAUAUCACUUGCAAUAAAUAACCAUGAGAAGAAACCAUGUAUUGUAGAAAAGAAAGAACAAAGAAUAUCUACCUGCUCUUCAAAAAUCUUUGAUAGCUGCAAAGCUUUCUCCUUUUCAGCAUUCCUUUUGUCCUCAAGCUUACGACUUCUACUAACCCAUGCUGAAACCUCUGAAAGACCUUCAGAUUUCUUUUUCAAUCUGUCCUCUUUCAUUCUGAAAGAGAAUGUAAAGGCAAUGAUAAAUACUUGCACUAGGUUAAGCCUUAUAAUUAAGAAAAACAAACAAGACCUAGAACACAUUCUCCCAAAGCAAAGCCUAAAUACAUCAUCAAGUUCAGAAACCAAUCCUGUCAUGCAUUUAGAGAACCUUUUGGCCUGAUCACCAAAUAUUUUAAAGACUUGAGUAUAUCAUAGCCAUUCCUUAUAAAAAUGAAGUUCAAAAUUACCUCAUGAUUUAAAAUUUUCCAUCUACUAGAAUAUGCUACAGAAUUCAAAUAGCAUAAUCCCUUCCACAGCUACUAUUUUACAUGACAAAUCUACCAUAAAAAAUUAUAAAGAUGGAAUGAAGAAGAAAGAACGUCUAAUAUAUAGACAAUUUAAGGUCAAUUGAGAAUAAAUGAUUCAUUCACCUCACUAUGCGCUCCUCGAGCUCUGAUGAAGAUGCCUGCACUAAACUAGCAUUGCUUCCAGCAUUCAGCUCAGCUUCAUCCUUAUCUCUACGAUCUUCAUAGUCUAACGCAAGUUCUCCAUCUUUGCUUCCUUCAUAAUCUUCCUCAUGGUUUUUGACCACAUUGUCCCUAUCUCUUGAUCUCUCCUUCUCUAGGUCCGUCUCUCUAUUUUUCUGUUUACUUCUAUCUUUUCCCUUCUCUCUAUCUCUAUCCUUCUCUCCUUCCCUCUCCUUCUCUCGAUCCUUAAGUUUGUCUCUCUCCUUUUCCCUUUCCUUGGCCUUGUCUCUUUCCUUUUCCUUUUCUCUGUCCCUAUCUCUACUUUUGUCCUUUCCCCUUUCCUUCUCAGACUCCCUAUCCCUCUCCCUGUCCUUAUCCUUUCCUCGAUCCUUUCGGUCCUUUUCUCUCUCACGCUCAUGUUCUUUUUCUCUAUGCUUAUCCCUGUCAUAAUCUUUCUCUUUUUCCCUCACCUUACUAUCUUUAGCUCUGUCUUUCCCGUGCUCAUCUCUGUCAUCCUUCCUCCUCUCCCUGGUUGACACUCUAUCCUUCUCCAAGGAAUCUUUCUCCCUUUCUUUCAAGAUCUCAUCACUGCUUCUCUUAGAACGGUCCCUUUCUCUAUCCCUAUUUCGAUGAUCCUUUUCUUCUUCUCGACUGCUCUUCUUCUUGUCCUUACUCCGAUGCUUUUCGGUUUGCUCUAAUUCAUCACUGUAGGCUCCUCCAAGCCUGCGUUCUCUAGAAGCAUCAUCUUCCCUAUCAUAUCGAUCCUUCUCCAUCGCAAAUAACAGAAACACUCAAAAACUUAUCUGCAAAGAAACCAUGAACAAUAUGUGAUUCAUUCCAUACAAUGACCCAAACAUAAUCAGAUGUACAACCCAAAAUCAUACCAGUGGUGGGGAAUCAGUAUAUGAUCAAAACCACAAAAGUAAAGCCAGAACAAGCAAGCCUCUAUUUGGUUAUUGCUUUUGCUAUUCACUUUUUUUUUUCCUUCAAAAUUUGCAAAAAAGGAAAAAAAAAUAAAGAGAAGAGUAGAGAUGCAAAACCAUAGGCAAAUUCAAAUUACAAAAAAAUAAGAAAAAGGAAAUCUAUAUAAAAAUAGAAUCAUAUACUUCUCUAAUUCUUUAAAACCUACUAUUUGCUUAAAUCCUAACGCCCUCUUUUAAACUGGUAAAUGAUCAAUCAAACAGUGCCUAAAGUUGUGAAAUCUAAACAGUUCUCAGUUUCAAAAAGAUAAACACAAUGAAUAGUAAUUGCUGUUUUUUUUUUUUAAGGUUAGGGUGAAGUAUGUAAAUUACUAAAAGCUUCCUUAACAAAACUCACCAAAAGAACAUACCCAUAAAAUCAUCUAAAACACGAAAAUAAAAUUCCAUAGACCCAUAAGUUGUUGUUGACCAAAUAGAGAAUACAAAGAAAAAGAAGCAUAGAGAGAAAAAGGGAAAUUGAAAAUAAAAUAAGCGAAACGGAUGUUACCGGAAACUCGAAUGAAUGCCAAGAAGACGCGGUAGCGGUACCGGUAGCGGCGGCGUAUGAUAUCCGGCGGCCGGAGAUGAAUUAUAGGUGACGGAAGUUUUCGAGAGUAAAGCUAGUUUGGCACAAAGAGAAGAAGGAUUUCUUCGCAAAAAUUCUGCACUCCUGAUUUUGAGAAGAAAAGGGUUUAAUGGGUCGGGUUGGUAUAUUUUGGAUUGAGACGGUCAUUAAUUGGGUUGGGCUUUUGGGAAUUUUUUCUUUAGGGGCUUCUUAGAGUUUGUUUAUGUUGUAACUUUUAAAUAGAUCGAAAAUUUGUGUUUAAACGCAUUCGAACUUAUAUUAUUCUAAUUGUUAUAACAGUAAAAUAACAUUGUCAAUUGAAUUAAGGUUCAAUCGAUAUUAUUAUUCCUUACUCUUUAAAAAAUACGAGCAUCUCUAAAUAAAGUUAAGCUUUAAUUUCAAAUUGCAUUUAAUAUAAGAGUUAACAUAUAUUUUGUUCGUACACUUAACCAUUAGUAUUAUAUUGGUAGCUAAACUUAAUUUCAUCAUAUAGAUAAUUCUGCAAUACUACAUGGUACUAACAACCAAUAAUACAGGAACACGUGAUAAUUUUAUAUUACGACACGUGACAAUCCUAUUAAUUUUUUUAAAUAUAAAUUUAAAAAAAUUGUAAAAAUUAUUUUAGGUUAAGAAUCAUCCUAAACAAAAGUUGUCAAAAUUCAUUCUAGAAGUGUUUUUUUAGUAAUAUAUUUAUAUUUUUAUUAUAAAAUAGCAUGCUUUUAUAUAUUAUUAUUUUUAAAUUGAAAAAUAUAUAAAAUCUAAAACAAUUAUAUUUCUAAAACAAUUAUAAAUUUAUAAAAAAUUAUAUUUCACAUCAAGACUGAAUAUAGACAAAUGGUUAUCCUAGUUUGGGUACCAGUUUGUCCGGAUGCAUUCUGGAUGUAUUUUUUAGCAAUUUUAUUUAUUUUUAUUCUUUAAAUACUAUGUUUUUAUAUUAUUAUUUUGAAAUUAAAAAAUAUAUAAUUUUUUUUAAAUAUAUAUCAUUUUAAGUUUAGAAUAAACAGGGAUAAAUGGACAACUUCAUUUUAUCCAAAUUUAUUCUAGAAGUGUUUUUUUAUAUUUUUAUUAUUUUUAAAUUUUUUAUAACAAAAUUGAUCAUACAAAUAUUAAAAAAUAAAAAAAUCAAAUAAUACUAUAUCAACAUUUUACAAAACUCCGGCAAAUUAAAAAGAAUACCAUAACAUAAUAUAUAAAUGGUAAUAAGUAAAAAUCAUAAAAUUACUAAAAAAAACAUAAAAUGAUAUACAAUAUCAUCUAAAUUUAGACUUCCAUUUAUCGUUAUUCAUUUUAGACAUGAAAUGGUUUUUUUUAUUAUAAAUUUAUAGAUAUUUAAAAUUUUAAAAUAUAUAAAUUUAUUUUUAAAAAACAUUCAAAAUGAAUAAGGAUAAAUAAUUAUUUAAGUUUAUUUGAAUCUUGACAACAUUUUAUCUAAAUUCAUUAUAGUUUUUAUAAAUUUUUUAUAAAUAUAUAAAAAUAAUUUAAAAAAUAAUUUUAGAUUUUAUAUAUUUUUAAUAUAAAAAUAUGAUGUUUAAUAAAAAAAUUCAAAAUAUAUAAAUUUAGUAAAAAAAAUUAUUUUAUUUAAUAUUUAGUAAUUUUAUAUAUCUUUAUACAUGCUUAAUUUUCUCAUAAUAUAUGUUACAUAUCAUAUAAAAAUAAAAAUAAUGUUAUAAAAUUGAAAAAUGAGCUAAACCAGGCUUGCCUAAUAUUUUGUUUUUCCAAACCUUGUUCCAAUUAGGCCAUAAAUAUACACACGAAUUUAAGCUAAAAUCAAUACCAAUUGGAAGCGAUUUAUUAAAUAUAAAAUUCAAUUAUAAAAACAUAUAUUUACACAUAACAUAAAUUAGAUAAUGGAAAAUAAAUAAAAAUAUCAAGAUCCAUCUUUCCUAGCCUUCACAAAGAAUACCCUAACUGUUUAUGAGAAGUCAGUGAUUGUUCAAAGAAAGGCCACCCCAUUUCCGGGUAGUCGAUGAACAUUCGUAGCUAUUACCUUGAUAACGAAGAAGAGUUUGACCCGAUGCUCCCGGUUAACUUCAAUUUAAGACAAUCUAUACUAAACUGUACCUACAGUCCUAUGGGCAACUACAGCCACAGCAGCAGCACCGACUGCACCAAACUGGGUUUGUGCCUGCAGAAUUUUUGCAUCAAUGCCCAAUCUAUCAUUUAAUUGCUCUGCCUUUGCUUGCGGUUGUUGAUACGGGUUGCUCUUCAUGCCGACAGCCAUUGCUGGGGAUUGGCUUGCGGCCAUGCUGAACUGUGGUUGCAGUUUGGCUUGUUGAUUCAUGUCACUCUGUAUUCUGGAUUUCUCUUGAUUUAUGGUGUUGGUGCUGGAACGGGGCUGCGGAGGAAGGACUGUGGUUUGGUGAAAGACCUCAGCAUCGUAACCAUCUUUAGUAUUCUUUGGAUUCUCAUGUGGUAUGACAGAUUCGACAACUCUCCCGGGUUUUGCUGUACAAAACAAGAGGAGAACAAACUUCAGGAUCAGCUAAAUGGUGAAGCAAGAAAAACAUAUACUUGGCCGUAUGCCUAUGAUCAAUGAGUAAACGUAUUUUCACAUUUCGUGCUAGUGAAUAUGCCUAAGGAAUGUUGGAAUCUUCAACAAUGUGAAAUUAUUGUAGAAAAAUCCACUCCCGGUUUUCAAACAGCAAACAGAGAGUGGGGCCCGGAGGGACAACAUAUGAAAUAGUUUUCAAUCCAGUCCCGGUUUUCAAACAGCAGGCAGAAACAACAGUAAAAAGAACAGAGAGCACCAUUCAUACCUGCUGGCACCUUAGGUGGAGGACGUGCUAACUUUCAAUUACCAGAAAUUGCAUCAGUUACUUUUUUGGAAGCCUCUUCGGUAACGUUUUGAUUCUCACACAAAACCGAAGCUGACUGCCUAUUCAGAGGUAUUGUACUGGAAUGAACUGUAUUCCUGCAAUAAAUAGGACACAAGUCGGAAAUUGGAAUAUCGCGUCACCAUAAGGGGAGAAAAUGUGGUAAUUUGUUUGAAUCCAUAUGUUAGUGGGGGAAUGCAUAAAAAUUAAAAGAACAUAUUUAUUUUUGUUUAUCAUGUUCAUAUGCAUAUAUUGAUCACGAGACUAAAUUUCUCUUCACCCUAUCAUAAAACCGUAAACCCCAGAGCAGUUGAGAAUAACUGUAUAAAGAACAUUUCUGAUUAAAGGAAAAUGUUAAAACAUGAAAUACCUCGGUAGGGACGUGUGCUUCCUCUCCGAAGGGAAAACCGGCACACUUCUACCACUGUUUUCUUCAAGAUAUGCAAACUGCUUUCUGAAUUGACCAAUGGCACUGCGAUAAAACCAAAAUAUAAUCAAGCAGAUUAAGAGUGAAAAAAUACGAGAAACAUAAAAAUUAACGAUAAAUGCAUUAAGAUAAGUAGGAAAAAUUCAAACCUCGGAUAAAGAAAAUUAGUUCCUUCAUUUCCGUUUAUAUAGUCUUUGAGCAGCUGAGGAUGAUAUUCUAGUAUCUCUCUGUAAAUUAAUUCCCUAACAUCCUCCUUUACCAACCUUCGCCUCUCAAACUCGAACUCUAAUUUCGAGAUUGGCUGACAAGAAGGUUCCCUCUCAAUUUUAGCCAAGCCUUUGAAGUAAGGAUCGGCUAAUGCCUAUCACAUUAAGACAAAGAAGUACAAUUAAUGUAAAGAACACACAAACAUGCAUCAGAAACGUCCACCAUUUUUUGACUCAAUUGCAUCCAGGACACCAUAUUUAUAGCAUUAAAAUAAACGAUAUGACACCUCCUCAGCAGUUGGUCGGUCUUUUGGAUCAAACGCUAACAGCCUCUGCAAUAGCCGCACUGCUAACGGGUCUACAUUUGGGAACUUCUGUGAGAAAGGCACAGGUUGUUUUAUCCGCAUUUCUGUCAAGUAUUUUCGUGCUUUAUCAUUUCGGACCUGCAAUCGUGUGAAACAAACAUCACCAUUCGCACUCUAUAAAAGAAAAGAGUAAAAUAUCACCCUCCAGAAACAAAACAUAAACACACACAUAAAAGGAAAGCGAGAAAGAGGCCAUACUCCAGAAAUAGUUUCAGGUGAAGGCGUCCCCAAAAGAUCAGUGAUCAAUUCCAAUUGAUGAACGACACUUUUUCCAGGAAAUAGAGGCUUCCCCAUCAAUACCUCGGCAAAGAUGCAGCCAAUGCUCCAAAUAUCAAUAGCCGGUGUAUACUGCAGACAGUUACCAACAAAAAUUAGACUUGAAUACGUAAAAUUAAAAAGCCCCGCCACAAGUUAAGCAUUCUCGAGAAAUAGACAUAACUAGACAGAAUUACCUGAAUGACAGAUAUUUCAACUUCCAAGAGAGUUCAUAGUCCUCCCUGAACAACAAUUCUUUUAAUCUAAGAAUUACUGUUCACUAAAAGGCACUCAAGUAUCAUUUAUAUAAACAAAAUUGUGGUGAUUCGCUAAAUACGACAUAGUUCAAAUAAGACAUGGUUAAUUCAAUAUUUGGCAAUAAAUGUGGUGAUUGGCUAAAAAAGUCAACCCUCGAAAUAAAACCAAGACAUUAAACUAGAAGAGGCAUACCUUGGAAAAGAAAAAUCCACACAGCUCUGGUGCCCUGUACCAUCGCGUAGCAACAUAGUCCUGAAAGGAACAUAGGAAAAUAACGUAUAAACAUGAGUAUCAACUCUUCUUAGUGGUAGAAAAAGAAAGCAUGCACCCAAAACUACAUACCGUCCAAAAGACGGUGGUUGGGGUGUCACUAAAUGCAACUCUUGCUAGCCCGAAGUCGCAAACUUUAAGCUUGCAAUUGGCAUUUGCCAGUAUAUUCUUUGGUUUAAGGUCACGAUGGUAAACAUUAGCUGCAACCGAGAACUUAGCAAUCAGUGUAAAUUUGCAAUUGCUUUCAAGCACCAUAUCCCAAUUAGAUGGCAAAAACCGAGGCAAAAGCAAUUUACAUCAAUGAGGGAGAGACUUCAACCUUCCAUUAAGAACAGUAACAAGCCAAAAGCCAAUGAAAAAUAUAGCCUUAAUUACAGACAUGUACGAAAGACAAUUAAAGAGAUGAAACAAUUGUUUACCUGUAUGCAUAUAUUUCAUUGCACGAAGCAUUUGGUAAAGGAAAAACUGGUGGUGUUCACGGGUUAAGUCAUCAUUAGCUUUGAUGACUUCGUGAAGAUCAGACUCCAUGAGCUCAAAAACAACAAAUAUAUCAUUGAAUUCCCUCUUUGACGGUGGCAACAUUAUAUGCUUAAUUUCAACUAUAUCAGGAUGUCUAAGAAGUCUAAGCAGCUUGACUUCACGUAAAAUCCUUAAAGCAUCGGAUGUGUAGUCGAAUACAUCUCGUAUUUUCUUUAUUGCGACUUUCUUACCAGUAUGAGUGUCAAGUGCCGCACAAACAACUCCAUAGCUUCCCUUCCCAAUGACUUCAAUAAUUUUGUACUGGUUUGCAUCGCCAUAUUCAGUGAAAAAGUCCUCUUUUAGGUCCUGAAGAACAAAAGAGAAAAACAAUCAGAACCGCGCAUGACUGGACCAUAAGUAAGUUAUCUAUGAAUUAAAGAAAAGAAUAAGAAGCAGCAGCGAGAGGGGAAAAACAGAAUCGGGCAUUACUGGAUCAUACAAAACAUGCAACAAGUGAAUUUUCUAUGGAGUUAAGGACAAAGAAAAGUAGCAACAGCAGCUAAAGAAUGCAGCAGAGAAGCAGUAACAAAAAUAGCCAAAACAACCAGCAUACCAUAACUGUAUAACUACUAACAAGCAUAUAAGAUAACGGAGUCAGUUAAUCAAGAUAGAUUGAUCCAAAAUCUGAUUCAAAUCCAAUAUAACACUUAUGGGUACAUAAGAAAUGAAUUGAAUCAAUUCCUUCUAAUGAAUCGGUCCACUACAACUUCGCAUAUGGGAUACAAAGGGAGCUAAUAGGAAAUGAUAAUCUGAAUCUCACUCAAAACUAAAGGUCUAAAUAGACUUGAUGUUAAAAAUGAAUGAAGACCUGGAAACAUGAGUAUGGCAUUAUCAAGAACUCAAUAAAUUAACUGCAUUUAAGACGUUACAAAUGCACACAAAUCUUUGUUCGACUGCCUGCAAAAGAUAUCCAUUGAACUUGAAGUUGCUCAAAUGAAGCCAAAAGCCCAAAACCAAGAGUCUUCCUACAGCUUCUAAUAGCAUUUAGAGAUGCAAAAAAAGAUUGACUUUCGGAAAUGGAUCCAAAGUCAUUGCCUAAGGGGAACAUUCCAAAUAUUUCUCUUUGCUUGACAAUUUCUAAUAGUAAAAAACCAAACAUAGAAUCCAUCUAGACUAGACUCAUUUCUUGUUGCCAAUCAUAGCUAGAAAGGAAACCAAUAUCACCUUCAAAGAAGAAAGCCAAAUCAAAAAGAACCAAUAAAGUUAUUCGUGUUUAUCAUAUAAAAAACAAAAGCAUCUUUACAGUAAUCCAAAACAAGUUCAAAGAGAAUAAAUUUCAGGAAUCAUUUACAACAUUAAGCCUCGCAAUCAUUUUAAAUAACAAAACUAAUUCAAGAAUUUAAAAAUCCACCACUUCUUAUAAGUUAAAUUCCUCUUUUCAAAAUAUGGAAUAUCUUGUCUACACGACUGGUAAUGAAACAUGCUUUAACAGUUCUGAAACUUCAAGUUGAUUUAAUAACUUAUCAAGUACAAGUCAAGGUCUUUUUCUUUGUUCUCUUUCUCUUCUACACUAAGAAUUGCUUCAUUUCAGCAAAAAAAGAAAAAAACUAAAAGUGAUCUUCUCUAAGCUCAGUUCCAAAAUUAAUGCUAAAACUUAACAAAAAAGAAGAAUCUAACCCCAAAUGUCAAUUUAUCUCCUUUCACAACACCUCCAAAGGAUUAUUAUCAACUUAGAAUCCAUAACACCAACGCCUUAUCCAUUCUAUUCUAACAAAGGAAAGAAAGAAGAACCUUAAAUUUUCAAUGUAUGCUCAAGACAAUCAAAAAGUUAAAAUCUUUUCCACUUUCAAACACAAAAGAACUUAGAAUUCUAAAGCUUUAAAAAUAAAAGGAAAAAAAAACAACAUAUUUUAUACCAAAAGAAAAGAAACCAACCUUCUUCCACUGAUCCUGCUGCAUAUUUUCUUCAACCCCAAAAAUAUCUCCUUUAUAUAUAGAGAGUUCUUCUUAACUGAAAAGUCACCCAAAGAACAGAAAUAGAAACAAAAAAGGAAAAAGAUUUGUCUGAGUAGCCAAACACAAGCAGACUAGAAAGAGUAAACCAGCCACAUUUGCCUAAACCAAAGUUUCUUUUUUAAUUAAAAAAAAAAACUUAUUCAGAAGUUCCUGAAUUCUGGGUCGUUUGAAAAACUGAAAGAUCUGGGAGAGCUCGAAUGUGAUUUUGGUUUUCUGUUGUCUUCAUUAAACUUCACUUUAUAUUCCUUUCAAAAAAAUAUAUUUUAUAUUCAAUGAACAUUUAAAAAAAAAAAAAAAGGAUUAAUAUCGUAUUCAAAUAAUUUGCUAUCCACCAGUUUUUUAUUCUGAAUUUCAUUUUUUCAGUUUAAGCCCUUUUUAAUAAUUGCUAUUGGUCAAAUUCUGCUAUUAGACCUGCACUUUAUAUAAGUUAGGGAUUUAGUAUUUAUAUUUUAAUUUGGUCAUUUUUGGUGUCUAUAUUUUUAGAAUUGGAAAAUUUUAGUCCUAACUAAAUGGUAACUAUUAAAUCCAUUAAGUUAAAUUCUUUUAUUUUUAAAAUUUGAUAUGUCAAAAUUAUUAUCAGACGUGGAAUGCUAUGCUAAUUUGUUAUUUCCAUAUACUACUGACAAAUAAAAAACUAAUUAAUAGAUUUAACUUGUGUCGUUUACAUUAAUACUGAAAUUCAAAAAAUAUAGUGAUUAAGAAUGAUAAGAAUGAUCUAAUUGGAGAACAUAGACAAAAUCUACAAUGUUACAAAUAAUACAAGACUAAUAGCAUAUUUUAACCAAACAAAUUUAGCUGAUAUCGUUUGUUCAGGAUUGAAAUUUUAAAAUUUGAAAAAUAUAGGGACUAAAAUUGAUUAAAUUAAAGUAUAGAUAGUAAAUCUAUAACUUACACAAAGUACAGGGCAUAACAGCAGAAUUUGACCAUUACUAUUUUCCUUUAUUUAUAAUCGCUUUUUGAUAAUUUUUUUUUUACUUUGAUGUUUUAUAUUUUAAUAUUAUUUAUUAACGAUAAAUAUGGUUUUAAUUUUUUUUAAUAAGUUUAGAUUUUGUAACAUUUAUGAUAUGGAUGAAUGGAAAUAUUUAUCUUAAAAAAAAUAUAUUUAUAAAAUCAUUUCAAUAAAUUAUUAUUGACUGAGUGGCAUAAAUUUUUUAAUUAUCUGUUUGAUUCUUAAAUAAUAAUUUUAUUAAAAAUUAUCUAAUAAAACAUCAUUAUAAUAAAAUUAUAUUAUCCUUUAAAUUAAAUUAUUUUAUAUAUAAUAUAUAUAAAAAUUUUGUAGCGCAGAUUUUACAAUUGAACUCGAUACCUAUAAAUAUCAAAGUACUCUUAAAAAUGUAUUUUAAGAAAUUAAAUACUUGUAUGAUUUCAUGUGUUUUUCUUUUAUAAAUUAUUAUUUUUUUCAGUUCUCUAAUUGACAUUUAACUCAAUUAAAUAAUCUAUAAUAAUAUAGAUACUUAGGGGGAAUAAUUAAUUAAAGUUAUAUACGAGUAGCUAAUAAAACUUUGGUACUGUUGGCUAAUGUUAUGAAUUUUAAGUAUUUAAGCUCUAAUCUCGUUGUACCUAAUUGCGUAUAUUUGGGUCUCCAAUUUUAUUAUGUGCAUCCGUGUAAAUGUGAGUUUUAGUUUGGAUUUUUUUUUUAUAUUUUUCGUUUAUUUGUAUGUCGUAAUUUUUUUUUAUAAUUAGUUGGAUAUAUAAUUAUAUUGAAUUUAUACUUUCUUGUAUUUGUAAUUAUAUUAUUUUUUCUUUUUUUAAAUAUAAUUAAUAAAUUUGAUUUAUCACAAUCAAGAAACUGAUUUUACUAGAAACAACUGGAAAGCAACUAGAAAUGAUGUGAUGGGAUGGAAAUAUUAAAUUGACAAUUUACAUAUGAAAACAUUAAUCUAAAACUAAAUUAAUUUUAGUAAUAUAUAAAUUAAUAUUUGGAAAUAUUUGGGUAAAUAUAUUAAGUUUGAAAUAAGAAUUUAGGUAAAAAGAUUAGGCUUAUUUAAGAUAUGGUUGGGAUUGAACUUUAAUAUUAAGGCUUUAGCUUCUUCUUUUUUUUAAUUUUGUAAUAUAUUAUUUUACUUUCAUAUAUUAUCUAAUUACAUAAAUAUUGAAUUUUAAACAAAUUUUUAAUUUUUAAUUUUUAAACAUUAAAAAAUAAAUUAAGUUGUUCAUUUUUAAUUUUAAGUAAAAUAUAUUAAAUUAGUAAAUUGUGAAUAAAAAUAGCACAAUUUUUUAAAAAAAAAUAAAAUAAAAUAUUAAUAUGGCUAAAAAUAUUUAAAUUAACAAUUUAAAAAUAGAGAAGGGCAGAGGUAAAUUUGAGUUAGCUUAAAUUUUGACAAGUGUAAAUAAUAUUAAUUGCGUUACAUAGUCGAGUCCUAUGAAUAUUUCUAAUUGUUAAAUAGGGUAAAACACACUUCCCCUCAUGUUUAAUGUAAAAUUAGUUUUUUUUUUUCUUAUACAAUGCAUGAGUUUAACUUGUGUAUAAAAAUAUUUAAAAUAUAUAUAUAUAUUGUUUUGAAUCUAUUACGUGCAUAGAGAUUAUGAAGUACAAAUAUUAAUAUUAAACAAAUUAAGUAUGCAGAAAUAAAAUUAUAAACUUAAAUUGAAUUAUAUAAAUGUACUUUUUAUAUCUCUAAAUCUUACUUUAGUGUGUAUAUAAAUAUAUAUAUAAAUAUAAUAUGUAUGAAGUAUAUAAUAUGAGUAAUUUAAAUAAAACUUGGUAUAUUUUUUAUAUUUUAGUAUGUUAAAAUAGAUAUUUAUUUUAGAGUUGUCAUCGUAUUAAUAUGUCAAAUGGGUUGCUUAUAAACUGUACCGCAUAGACUUUUUUUUUUUUUAACCUCAUAUAUUAUAGUAUAUGUAUAUAUAUAUAUAUAGGGUGAGUUUUUGAUAUACUGGUAGUAUAUUUUUUUGUUCCACAAGUAAUUUCAAAAAAUUGAUAUCUAUUUUUUUAAUAUUUUAUUAUACUUUUAUAAAAUAUUUAUUAACCCUCUAAUUCUACUUAUGGAAUCUAAAAACUUCACUAAUAGUGUAACAAUUAUUUUUCAUAUAUAUAUAUAUAUAUAUAUAUGUAUAUUUAUAUAUGAUACACUUUCCACCUUUGAAGAAAAUCUCAUAAACCUGCUUGAGAUCUAUUUAUUAUGCAAAUUUUAAAUAAAAAGUUAAUUAUAUCAUUGCUAUUAUUUAUCUAUGUAAUUUAUAUAUAUUUUAUUCAUUUUCCAUUUUUAAUUACAAAAUAAUAAUUUUUUAUUUACAUAUUAAAUUAGUAUAAAAUUAAAUAUAUUUGAAUUAUUUGAUAAAAUUAUAUUUAAUUUGGUUAUAUAUUAACCUUUGACAUAAAUUCAUUAACUUAUUUUUAUGUAAAUUAGUUAAUUUUCAUUAUUAAUUUAAAAAUUUUAAUGGAAAAGAAUUUGAUUAAAAUAUUAAAUGAAAAAAUAAAAUCAUUUGAAAAUUAAUAUUUACUUAAAUUAAAACUAAAAUUUAAAUACUCAACAUGUAUUUACAUAAAAAAAUCUUUAAAAAAACAAAUUAUAAUUAUAAUUAAUAAUAAUUUUUUAAAAAUAAAUUUAUAGCUAAUGAGACCUUAGUUUAAUGAAAAUAUUAAAGUCCUAAUAACUUUUAAAUCUUAGGUUUAAAUCUCACUUUGUAUAAAUUGUGUAUGGAUUCUCAAUGCAUAUUUAUUUUGGUUUAUGUCCCACUAUAGGUGGGCUCUAUAUAGAUUUAUUUUGAUUUAUGCUUAGAUAUAUUAUGGUUAUAAGUCGAAUCGAACUUUACAAUGAUCAAUUCUAAUUAUAGUUACAUGAAUGUACUCUUUAUAAUUACAAUUGUAAAUGUACUUGUAAUUUUUUUUAAAAAGAAAAAAAAAACUUACACAUAUUAAUUGAAAAUACAAUUAUGUUUAGCGUAUAAUUAUAUUAGUUAAUAAUAAAAUUUAUAAUUUAAUUUUACAAUAAUUAAUAUAUUUUUAUAAGUAAUAAGGUUUUUAUUAUUUUAAAUUGAAAAUGAUUGAAUAUAAAACUUAAAGAUAAAAAAAUAAAAAAAAUUAACUUAAAAGUAAAGCUAUCCUUCUAUUUAAAAUUUAUUUAAUAAAUAAAUCUUUAAGGUUUAGUGUAUUUAUCAUCAAAACUUAAAAGGAUAAAAAGCAUUUUCCAAACCAUAAGGGAUAAAUGGAUUUUUAUGGGGUUUCAAUAAUUUUCUCUUCAAAAUAUUAAAAACUCUUGUAUUAAAUAUUUUCUUUUUUAAUAAUUUAAUCGUCAUAUUUUACACAUAAAUUAAAAAAAUUCUAAUUGUUUAAUAUAUAUUAAUGUAAAUAAUAUUUUAAAUCAAUAUAAUAACGAUACCAGAUCGAUUCAAAAUUUUACAUACAUGAUAAGUAUAAAUAUAUUGAUAAAUUCAAUAAUUGAAUUAUUAAAAUAUUAAAUGCAUAAAUAAUAAGAAAUAAUAUAAAAUUACUUUAAUUUUACACUUAUGUAAAUGAAUCCUUCAACAUCUAAUUUCUUAUAUUAAAAUCUAUGAAAAAGAUGAUAUUAAAUAAGUAAUUAAUGUUUUUAAUUAACCACUUAAAAAAUUUGCCAAACAUCAGAGGGCAUCAUCUUAAAGCCAAUAAUGUUGCUUUCACUUUAUAACCACCUUAAAGCCAAUCAGUUGUGCCCUCAUUCAUGGGGAAUCAUUUUCCUCUUCUCAUUUUCUUUUUGGUCCCUUUGAAGAAAAUAACCAACUUUAUUUAUUCGAAUUUUGUUAUUUUUUAGACUUACAAAAACAAUUACAAUAAAUAAGAAAUGAGUGUUUGGUACACUGACAGUAUAUUCUUUUUUUAUUUUAUAAACAACUUUAAAAAAAAUGACAUGUGUCUUUUUUAAAAAAUAUUUUAUUAUAUAUUUAUAAAUACUUAUUAAUUCCGUAACUCUAUUUUGUAAAAUCUAAAAUUUUAAAUAAUUUUUUUUAAAAAAAUUGAAAGGAUGAUAAGUAAUCUUUAAAAUGGAGAGGAAAUCUAAAGGAAAUGAAUGAAGUUGGUCAAAUUUUGGUUAAAGCUGUUUAAAAUUGGAAGAACAGAAAAAAUUUGGUCGGUGGUGACAGUUUUAUUACUAAUACAAAAUGACGUGAUACUUACGUAGUUACAGAAUAAAUAAAAUAUAAAAAAAAUCAAACCCACGUUUAAAUCAUUAAAAAUAAUUUUGAGAAUUUUUUAAAGGUUGUAAAUUAAGUUAUUUAUUUAAAAUAUUUAAAAAAUUAUUGAAAAGACAUAAAUUUUUUAUUUUUUUAAAAUUUAAAUUUAAAUUAUUUUCUAACUAAAUUAGUAUCGAGUUAAAUUUUACACUUACGAACUAAAAUAUGAUAUUAAUAUCGAAAGCUUAUAUAAUUAUGGAUUGAGAAUGAAAAGCAAAAAACUUGUACAUGAAUCAAGCUUUAUAAAUACUUCCAAAAUCAACUUAUCAUAACCCUAUUUUUGUUGGUACAUAAAGAUAAUGUUAAGGAAAGCUAAACCCACAAGCAUCAUGUUGUAGAAAGGGGAGGAAAUCCUCUGGUGGAGCUUCAAGAAGGACCAAACCUACGUCGGUCACUUGUGCCAAAUUCAUUUAAUGGUCUGCAAAUUCACAAUGAAAGCCAGACACUCUUCAAUCAAGGUGCUGAACGGAUAACAGUCUUCAGGUGGUUUGAUCAAGACGUUUACCAUCAACAUUGCAUCUUGGAAUACCCAGACUUUCGCUAAUUGUCUCAACAAUCGAUUUUAAUUCAUGAAUUGAUCACGUAAUGAAAACUUUAACUUUUUAAUGGGAAAAGUUAAUUUUCUCUAUGGGUAAAGAAAUCAAAAGUAAAACUCAAGUUCCCACAAAAAAUAGAUUUUAAUUUGGAAAUCUCAUUAUAUUUCAAUAUAAUAACUACACUCAAUGAUGAUGUUAGUCGCCGGUUGAGUCUUAUCUCGAUUGCUACAGACAUUGUUGUCAGGGCAAGAGAACGUAGGUUCGAAUGUGCUGAAGUGCAUUAUCCUCCUAUUUAAGUGUUAGAGAUGGGGGUUAUGGAUAUCUAGGCAUUAUGUCAAAAAGAUCAAAUAUGAUCGGAACAUAUUGUUUUUUAAAAAAAAAGCUUAACUCAUGGACUCUAUAUAUAAAGAAAAAAUCACAAGAGUUCUACUAGAACAAAAAAAUCAAAAUAAUAAUAUAUACUGGGCUUACAAGUCCUCUUUCAUGUAUUAGGUACAAUUAUAUGUAUUAUUUAGUCUUUAAACCAACUCGUAUAAUUUAUCCAACCCAAUAAUCAAUUUUUUAUUUCCAAAAUAUUAAUUAAUUUUGUAAAUUUAAUUAUUUCCUCAACUCAAUUCUAAUUCCAUUAAACUCAUCAUGACAACUUUACUAUACUAAGAUCUGAGUAAAUAAAUUUAAUUGUAUUAUUCAGUAAAACUACAAUGACAAUUUAAUUUAGUUUUUCUACUUUGAAUUGAAUUAUUUAAUUACAAUCAAUUAAAUAAUAGUUCAAAUAAAUUAAAUUAAUUCCUAAGUUAUCUCUUGCUCCCCGUGAGAAACUACGUUCAUUGUGAAUAGCAAUACUUGCAAUCUAUUUCUCUUUUUGUUGUUUUCAUUGAUUCAACAUAUCGAUUCUAUUUGCACUCCGAAUAUGGUUGUGUUGAGCUAGUGGAGGAAUCAAUUGGACAUAUAUAAUCACGGUUCAAAUAAUUUGUAAUUCUUCAUCUAUUGGUUACAACAUUAUUUUGUCAUGUAGUUUGUAACAUCCCUAACACCCCUUAAGUCGGCAAUAGUGUUAUUUGGAGAUUGCGUGUGUUAGAAUUUUCAAAGCAAAUAAAAUAGCAAUUAUCAGUGUUAGUAGAGAAUGUAGUUGGGAAGCGGAGAGAAUUGAAAAGACUAAUAUAAUGAAAUAUAUUAAUAUAGGGUAUACGUUAAAUCGUACAAGCGUGAAAAAUGUUGGGAAAAAUUGUGAAAAUUUAAAGUAUAAAUGAUUAAAUUGAAUUAAAGGGAAAAAAAGAAAUGAUUAGAAGUGUAAUUAUAUCAAGAGAGUGUUAUGAAACAAAGCUGGAAUUAUGGAGAAUGAUAAGGGGCAAAAUGGUCUUUUUCUUAAAUAGAUAAUUAUGAUGAAAACCUUAUAAUUGUUGGUGAAAUUAGAUCCUUUGGAUGGUGUUGGAAGUUGAGAAUGAAUAAUAUCCAUUUGUUAAAAAUGAUGAUGCUUAUAAUAAUAAACUAUAAUUAUAAUAUUUUAUUCAAAUAAAUCUAAUAGCUUUUUAUUAAGAAUAGUGUAGAAAUCUCAUCAUUUUUCUUCCAUUCUCACAUUACCUUCAUUCAUGUUUGAAGCAAACUUUGCUUUUAUUCUAAACUAUUCCUUUUUACCAUUUUCAACCAUUCCAAGCUUGAUUUCUUCAAUUUCUUCUAUGUAAGAUAGGUAAGAAAAAGUACAUCAAGAAUUUUUACUAUACCUAAUAAAAUAUAAGUAUAAAAUUAUGUUAGAUUAGUUAUAUUAAUAUUUGUGUGAUUAACUUAUUUAUGAAUUUGUUAAUAUUUAAUAUAAAAUUAAUUAGAUAAAAGUGUUGAUAUCAAUUGAAUUUCCAUUACAAAGUGAUUUGAGUAGUGUAUUGAAACUAUGGAAAAAGGGACUAAAUUGUAAGUGUACAAAUUUGAUAUGUGAAUUAGAUAUCAUGUUUGAGUACUUAAAUGAAGUGAUAUAUGAUAGUUUAUUAAAUAUAAAGUGAUCUUGAAGUGUUAUAAAAGUGGUAAGGAAUUUCAUGAUGAUGAAGACUUAUAAAGAACAUAAAAAGUUUAUAAGUGGCAGAGACAAUGAGAUCUCAAUAUCCCUACCUCUUUUCAAGUAAAUUUUAAAGACGAAAUUUCUUAAGAGGGAGAAUUGUAACGACCUAAUUUUUAAUGGUGUUGAAUAAUGCGAUUUCGAAACCUCAUUUUCGUAAACCGAGUUCGUAAAAAUAAAAUAGUAAUAUUUACAGAGUUAUUAUGAAAAUAUAAUAAAGAUUUGUAAUAGGCCCAAUUCGCCCGGCCCAUUAUAAACCAAAAAUAAUAAAUAUAAAAAACAAAAGAAAAUAAAUGGCCCAAAAUUAGUCAAAGUCCAAUUUUUUUUUACAAAUAAUAAAAUAACCCAAUUAACCCAAAUAAAUCCUCAAACCCAAUAAAAAUAUAAAACCCAAUUAGCCCAAAUAACCCAUUACCCCAAGCCCAAAACACUAAGGAUUUUUUCGGCAGAAACCCUAGAAGUUUCAGCCACCGCAGCCUCUAGUCGAUUCUUCCACUCGUGCCAUGCUCCACGAACGACUCCUCCACGCCAUACACACCUGCAACAGAAAAUAACCACAAGCAAUGGACAGCAAAUGAGAUGAAAUUUGUAUUUUUUAUUUUAUUUAUUUAUUUUUGUUUUUCGGCUAUAAAACCGAGAAAAAACGGUGUAAAUGGUUUUUUUUUCUUUUUUCUUCUUGUCACAAAUAGCAGAGAAAUAUAUGCAGAUACUAAAAAUCCAUUCGAAAUUAGCUUUAAGGUAAUUUUAGAUUGUAUUCUUCUUUGAUUUUCAUUUCUGUUUCGUCAUUCUUUAUCUAUUGCAUGAAAAUAAAUUUAUAAGAAAGAAAAGAAAGAAAGAAGACUUAUCUGUUGUUGAAGGAGGCUUUGAACUCCUUGUUUGCUUCGUCGAAACUGAAAUCAAGGCGAAGAUUUUGAAGCCUAUGAGUAAGGCUUUCAGAUUUGUGGUCGAACGGGACUAAACUUGGCCCUUGUUUCAUGGCCGUUGGCUGAAUAUGGAGGCAAAGCAGCAGUGGAAAGGUCUCUUAGGUUCGGCCAAGUAAAUAGGGAAUAGGUUUUAGGGUAUUCUUUUUUUAUUUUAAUUGGCAUUUAAAUAGCUGCAUAUUGAAUUUUAGUUUUUUAGAAUUGAUUGUAUGCAGAAUUCAAAACGGUGACAUAAGCUGGAUCCACGCUUUGGUGCUUCAGAUGGUUAAUUUGCGCAUAUAGUCCUUUUCUUUCGCAUUGACUUUUUAAUUAGUCCUUAUUCACAUUUUAUUUGUUUUAAAUUUCUCCUUAGAAUUUGCGCGGCAUUUCAGUUUAGCCCGAAUUUAAACAUUGUGCUUUGAGACUCGGUAUAUUUCCAGUUUCGAUCCCUGCACAUUCUCGCACAUUGCAUUGUAGUUCUUUUUUUGAUUUCAAUAGUUUAAGUUAUUAAUUAUCCCUUUCAUUUUAA